UUCUCUCUCUUAUCUCAUUAAUC
rnacentral:snRNA from 1 species